ACCGUGAAAGUCUCUCCUGCUCCGUUGAGAUAGUCUUCCUGUGAGAUCUUCGAUACAUCAACACCUGCAGGAACCUCAUCCUCGUCGAAGACAAUGUUGUGUGGGAAUCCAGCAUUGUUUUUGAAUGUAAUCUUCUCUCCAGAAGCUACUGAAAAAGAGCUUGGAGAGAAAACAAGAGCACCGUCGUCAGCUCCCAGCUUGACCUCGGCUGCCAUGGCAGUGCUUGCGAGUAGCAAUGCACUGGCAGCUGUGGUGACAGCGGCCACACCGACAUCUUUCAACGAGGCCUUGAUGGAUAGCAUGGGGGUGGAAACCUUGGUGGUGGCGCUGACUCUGGAGGCAGUGGCCCCGGCUGACUUGAGGCCGGUGAAAGAUGGGAUGGAAACAGCUGCUGUGGUGAUGGUUGCCAUUUGGUAUGUUUGGUCUAAGUGUUGAUGGGAUAUCAAAGAAUGAGAAGAAGGGUGGAUGGAUAUUAAUAAUACAAGGUGGGAUUUGAUGAUAGGAUAGGAAGGGAGGGGCUGAAUUGUGAGUUGGAAGUUUCUGUGGUGGCAAAGGUUAGAUAUCAGAUAAUGCAUUCAUGGCAACA
rnacentral:lncRNA from 1 species